rnacentral:rRNA from 1 species
UACGUAGGGUGCAAGCGUUAAUCGGAAUUACUGGGCGUAAAGCGUGCGCAGGCGGUUUGGUAAGACAGAUGUGAAAUCCCCGGGCUCAACCUGGGAAUUGCAUUUGUGACUGCCCGGCUAGAGUGUGUCAGAGGGGGGGUAGAAUUCCACGUGUAGCAGUGAAAUUCGUAGAUAUCGGGGAGGAACACCAGUGGCGAAGGCGGCGACCUGGGCCAUUCUUGACGCUGAGGCGCGAAAAGCUAGGGGAGCAAACGGGG